rnacentral:lncRNA from 1 species
AUGGCUGAGUUAUGAAAACAGUAGAAUAUCGCAUGACUGAGUUCAAGUAUAACGUUAAAACAGUGAGGAAAUAUCAAUAAAAAAUCCCCUAAGGGUUCGAAUAGUUGGCAUGAGGCCCAAGUAUGGCAUUCAUCCCAAAACAUGAUAUUAAAUAGUUUUCAAUCAAAUACGUGAUAAAAUAAUCAUUCGGGAUGGGCUAAGUCACAAUCCCCAACGGUGCACGACCUCACGAUUGUCAUCUAGCAUGUGUGUUACCUCAAUAUAGCACAACGAUGUGCAAUCUGGGGUUUCAUACCCUUAGAAAAACAUUUAUAAUCAUUACUCACCUCAAUCCGGUCCAAACUCUAGCCCGCUACGCCUUUGCCCCUUGAAUCGCCCUCAACUCGCGUCGAAUCUAUCCAAAAUUAGAAUCACGACGUCAAAAUAUGCUAAAGGAAUAAAUCCCAUACGAAAAUAAUCAAUUUACAAUAUAAAUGCCGAAAUUACUAAAACCCGACCCCCGGAACCACAUCUCAGAAUUCGAUAAAAUUCACAUCAAUAGAUUCCUUAUCUUUCCACGAGUUAAUACAUAUAAAAAGUCCCAAAAUUCGACCACAAAUGGCCCCUCAAAUUCUCAAGUGUAGGUCACUAAUACCAAGCCCUAGUUUCCCCAAUGUUUACCCUUAUUAUCCACUAAUACCAUGAUUAACUCAUGGAAAACCGAUCAUAAACUCAAGUAAUGAUGCAUAUGGUACUUACCCAACUGAUUGUCUUCGAUUUUCCCUUUAAUUCAGUGCCCUAGCUCGCUUCCCAUCUUCAAAAAUGGAGAACUUAGCCAAAAUCUCGCAAAGGAAACAUUAUAUACCUUCUGGCCCAGGGAUUCUGCAUCUGCGGCCAAAAUCUCGCUUCUACGGUACUGCUUCUACGGUUUUUCAC